ensembl:lncRNA
AUGCAGGAGAGGUUGUCUAAAACUGCAGCAAAACAAACAGAGACACAACAGAUCAAAAGUGAGCCGGGCAAAGUGAAGACAGAGCUGGCUGAAAUUAAAGCAGGAGAGCAAAAAGAGAAAAGAGAUCUUCCCCAAAUACAUCACCAAAGGGAAGACAUAGAUGUCACAGGGCAAUAUUUGGAUGAAGCUAACAAAGGGUCUGAAGAGUAUGAGCGUCUUCGAGAGAAAUACGGUUUCAUUGAUACAGACUCUGUAAGCAAAAACAAAGCAUCCGCCACAGGAAAUGUUUCCUUGAAUGGUGCAACAACAGCCGCAUCUGUCGUUAAAGUUGAGACGACAAAUAGCGAAAAAUCCAAAAACAGUUCUAGUCCUAGAAGCAAAGGUGAGACAGCCAACACAGAAGAAAAAGAGGAAGUAGGCGUUUUCAAACCCACUGAGAUGAAAGAGAGCCGGUUUGUUUACAGUGAGUCAUACAAAGACUUCGAAUUAUCUGGUGGAAAUCAUUUACCUAAAAAUGUAGAUAAAAUGAAUGAUGACAGUGUUGAAAAGUUGGAAAAGUGUGACCCCUUGAAACAAACUGAUAUUUCACAGCACAGAGAGUCAAUUCAGUUCAAUUCAGCUCAAAUGCUUCGUCUUGAAAGAAACCUGAAGUCCACUGAACACAGUGCAGGUCCGGGGAAAGAUCAGCACUUCACUCCUCCCAGGGCAUCGUCCAGCAAAGAGAGAGCUCAGACCAAGCAAGAGAUUUUGACCUCCAGGAUAAAAGCUCAUGCUGAAAAAGAGAUUUCAGCUAUUAAAGAAAAGGGUUUUGCUGUAAGAGACGGGUUUAUCUUCAAAAAUUCUACAAAGCAAUUAUUAGGUGGUCUAAGUUAUAAUAUACGACAAAUGCCUCCAUCACAGGAAGUGCCUAGGAAGCAUGAAAGCACUAUACCCAGUAAUACAACAACGAAGCACCUGAUGGAGCCUCCAGGACUACAGACAGAAACAAUGAAGUCUGUUUUACCUCCCAGCUCGGCUGCAUUAUCUGUUAGGUCUGCAGCAACUAGCAGUCAGCUAGUCGACCUGCUACUAAAACAAGGUCCCCAAGAACCAAUGAAGAGCAACUACGAUGCACCAAAACCACUCGGAGAAGAAAAGAUGGGGAGUUAUUCCAUGAGCACAAAUGAGGACAUGGGAGAAAAUCAAAAGAAAGAUAAACCAUGUGAAAUGAAGUCAACAAUACAAAGUAAAGAACAAGCCCCCAAAAACAAGCGAUGCGACUUGGAGGCCAAUCAAGGAGAAACCUCUGGAAAACCGAUAGAAGAACACACUGACGAUUUGGACAAAAAGAAAGAGCGUCCAUCACAAGCUACGGCUCUGGUCAAAGCAGACGACUCUGAAAGCAUAACGACAGAAAAGACUGAGAGUGAAGCUGAAGCAGUUCACGAGGACUCAGCACCUUCAAUAAAUCUGGUCUUUGGUCAGAAGGAGAUCCCAGCCGCAGAUGACAGCUUGCAGAUUAUGGGAAUAAUGGUAACUGUGCGGGAAAGAAAGCGAGCUACGGACAACAGUCCGGGCAAGAGCAGCAUUCAGGAACACAUGACAGUAAAAGAGUGCAGUAAUGCAGAGAUGGAUAGAUUUCAUCCUGGCUCGGGUCUGGAAGUAAGUGAUGGAAAUACAUCUCCAGAAGAAGUUAGUGCUGUACAGAACACUCCUCCUGCAGUGAAGCAAGAUCCAACUAGAGUUGAUAGUAAUGCUCAUCUGCAGGAAAAUCCAACAUCAGAGACAAGACAGAACAAUGUGUCUGAAAACAUCAGUGGGAAAAGGGCUAAUCACCAGCUGGAGAGUUCUUCUAUAAAUGCUAAGUCACAACUCCACGAACAAUUGGAUGAACAACCUGUGCCCUCCUCAGUCAUGUUAGCAACUAAAAAUGAAGUGGCUGAAAUUCAACCCCUUCUCCGCAACCAAGAAAUAACGACAAGUCAAACAAAAUACUACACAAAUGAAAUGUCAGAGGAAAACUCAGGAAAAAGCAUAUUGAAAGAUGAAGAAAAGAGAUAUACUGAAGAGACGAAUCUUCAGAAAAGGCAAACAACACAUACACAGAACUCUAUGGCCAAAGUGGCGAAUACAGUAAUCAGCUACCCAAAAGAUUCAAACGCCGCUGAUGCUGCAACUCUGAUCAAACGCGAUGUCCAGCCAUUAGUGAAAGAGGAAGAGACAACUGUCAUAAACGCAUACAAAAGCAGGAACGCAGAAGGCGAGCGUGCGCUCCCCGCGGAAGAAAAGGCCUCUUACUCAAUUACACCAAAUCCGAAUACCAAACAUCAGAACAAAGAAACACACAUUGGAGGAACUGAUCAAAUGCAUGAUAAAGUGCAUACGGGCGCCAUUGCCGUCAGAGUUGCAACAGCAGUAACUGAGAAGGACAACCCAAAUUUGGCGGGAAAACAUCAUGUCAACCCUGUUCCUUCUGACUUGGUUGCUGCUAAUGAACAAAAGCAAGUUGGUUCAUCGGUUCUUGAAGAAAAAGUAAUCUCUUUCAACCAUGAAGACAGAGGCAAAGACUUUAUUUCAGGAAGAAGUGAGAAGCAGGUGGAAAACUGUUUAGAAGACACAUCUGGAGUUCAAUGUGUGUUGUCAAGUGCAAAGAAACUGUCUGAUUCAUUAAAAAUGAGCCAUCAACCGGACAACACGAAUGCAAACAGUGGGAUUACUCAAACUAAAAUGGCAAAGCCUGAUAAGUUAAACAAAAGCGUGAAGUCCGUGGAUGAAUCAAUGAUACAACUAAUGGUAGGAGACUACUUUCAAGUUCAAAGCGUAGCAGAAACAAGUAAUGAACCACACAGCUCUGCAAAGGUUGGAGAUUCGUCAGAGGCUGUUUCAAAGGGAGAGGAACUUCCGAGAUUGCCACCCAACAAGGCAGCUAUCUGCCAUGAGUCAUGCUCUGAAGGAAAACAUGAAGACCCAAUGUUGGGUUACAGUAAGAGGAAAACAGUUGAAUCAAGUUCUGUUAGAAAGAACCGAGAAACUGAAGGUAAUCCGGCCUCCAAACAAAGUUAUGGUCCCUCAGAGAGAUGGAGUAAUGAAAAUGAGAACACAGAUGCAGGUCAAGCUAGUCAUAUCGUAAAACAUCAUGGAGACAAUCGGUCCAGUUCGUCAGCAAGGGAAAGACAGAGUACAAGAAGUUCUAUUGCAAGGAAGGACCAAAGGGUCAAAGAAAAGCCUGAAAUAAAACCAUUACCAAAAGAAAGGGUGUCCACAAUACCUGAGAUUUCAGCAAUUGCAGACUAUGCAAGAUUAAAAGUAAUUGUUUCAGAAGACGAGGAAAACGUAAUUCAGGAAUUCCCACCCAAUAAAAAGGAGGGAUUCUUUCCGCUAAUACAAACUCGUCAUAGCAGACGUCCAGUGUUCACUGCUGACCCACAAGAUCUCUCUGUGAAGGACAAACAUUUGCACAAUGAAACGGAAGCCAGCCCUAAAGUGAACAAAGAGGCCAAACCUUUAGUAUUUCCCAUAACAGAGAAAGAACACCAACGGACAGGAAUGUUCAAGCUGGCAGACAAAGAAAUACAAGAGAAAAAGCCUUUGGAUACCAAAAUCAAUGAAUGUGUCCCAGACACAGGGGCAAAACAUGCACAACAUCUCAAAGACACAAACAAAUCACCAACAACUCCCCAUAAGAACCAAAGAAGUGAAGAACAGGAAUCUGAAUCUGGAGUUUGUCAUGUUGCACAAAAUAUUCAUCAUCCAAACAAUCCUCCCGUUCAAGCAACAACCUCAACUUCUGCUGUGAACGAGCAGAGAAGCACUUCUGUGUCACAACACCUGAAGGCCCUUGAUGGGUUCAACGUACAGGGAAGCGCAGCAACGCAACGGCAGAGAGGAGCAAAACAGUUUGAGGAGAGAAACACUUCUAGGCUAGAAGAGGAGAAAAGAGCAGAAGACAUGAGAGUGAAACGUUUGCUGGAGGAGAAUAGAGCUUCUGUGGCCAAAGAGGAGAGAAGAGCCGCUCAGAGAGAAGAAGAGAAGAGAGCAAGAGAGCGGGAGGCCAUCGCCAUGAAAAUCAAGCAGAGACGGGAAAAACAGAGAGAGGCAGAAAGAAAAGCGAGAGAAAAACAAGCUGCUCAAAAGGAAGAGGAGAUGAGAACAAAGCAAAGAGAAGAAGAAAGACAAAUGCAGGAAAUUGAGGAGGAGAGGUUGAUGAUGAUCGAGAAGGGGCGAAGACAAAAAUUGAGAGAGGAGGAAGAGCGGAGGAAAGAGGACAAGGAGAGGAGGUUGAAACAGCGAGAGGAUGAAAAGGCCGCACAAGAGGAGCAACAAAGGAGAGCUGAUCAUGAGGAGCAUCAGAGGAGAGCUGAUCAAGAAGAGCAGCAGAGGAGAGCUGAUCAAGAGGAGCAGCAGAGGAGAGCUGAUCUGAUUGAGGUGCAAAGGCAAGCUAAACAUAACGAAGAAAGAAUACUUGCUGAGAUUGAGGCGAAAAAGAAAAUUAAACAGAGGGAAAGGAUACAAAAACAGGAGCAGGAGACUGAAGAGCAGAGGGGACAACAAUAUAUACAUGAAGCAUUCAUGAGAAGUCAGAGAGAGGAAGAUGAAAGGAUUAUAAACAUGAUAAAACAAAGACAAACUGAAGAGGAAAGGAACAGACGCCUGGAGGAGAAUCAAGAAGCCCUGAAAGAAGAGAAGAGAGUAGCACAAGAAUGGAUGCAAGCUCAAAGAGAGGAUGAGGCCAGGGCUGAAAACAGAGGAGGAGGAGGAGGAGAAGAAGAGAAGUCAGCAAAUGACAGAGAAAAGGAGAGAGACACUCAGAAGAGGGCAGCACAGAGGAUGGAUGCUCUUCAGUACUACGCCAUUACCUCAAAACAUACAGACAGGAAGCCAAGAGAAAGACAGCUACGCUCCCCUCCACCUUCUCCACAAAGACACAAUCUGUCAGGGCUCGCCUCAAGUGAGGACUCAGGAUCCCACACUAGGUCUUAUAGGCCACAUGCUCCUGCAUCUCCAGCUCCAUCUCUGCCUCGCUCCAACACCUCCUCUCCCUCUCUGGGAGGCAAGCCCUUAAUGUUCAGGGUGAAGGAUAACACCAUUAGAGGUUCUUCCUUCACCAAGUCGGUCAAACCACGCUUCCAUAAGAACUUUGGGGAAGAUUUCCGGGUAGGUUCACCUAUGGAAAGGGGGUCAGGGAGAGAAGAGGACGAGCAGGACUUACUUAGACGCAGUGCUGGACCUCCUGGCUGCCCUGACGCAGGGUUAAAGAGAGAAUCUUCUGCUCUUCAAACAGCAUAUUUAUCCCAGGAUUACUCAGCCCUUCUCCAGCAGCGGAAGCCUUACUCCAGGAGGAGCGUCGUCUUGGAUGAGGACGACUCGCGUUCCGUCAUCAGCAAUAUGUCAGAGGGCGGGGAGAGUUUUGCCACCAGCGCAGCCGACCUGGCGGAUAUACGAGGCCUGUAUGACUACGAGAGGCCAGAAUCCGCCUGUAGUUUCAGCAGUGGAGCCUCCCGUUCUUUGGGAAAGCCUCCGACUGUCCCCCCCCAAGAGCGAGAAAGCCUUGCGCAGAGCGCAAAGGUUGACGACUCGGAGAAUCAGGAAGGAGUUGACCAAAAUCGACGGCCAUGCUGGAGUUGA